rnacentral:rRNA from 1 species
GUCGAACGAACUCUUCGGAGUUAGUGGCGGACGGGUGAGUAACACGUGGGAACGUGCCUUUAGGUUCGGAAUAACUCAGGGAAACUUGUGCUAAUACCGAAUGUGCCCUUCGGGGGAAAGAUUUAUCGCCUUUAGAGCGGCCCGCGUCUGAUUAGCUAGUUGGUGAGGUAAAGGCUCACCAAGGCGACGAUCAGUAGCUGGUCUGAGAGGAUGAUCAGCCACAUUGGGACUGAGACACGGCCCAAACUCCUACGGGAGGCAGCAGUGGGGAAUCUUGCGCAAUGGGCGAAAGCCUGACGCAGCCAUGCCGCGUGAAUGAUGAAGGUCUUAGGAUUGUAAAAUUCUUUCACCGGGGACGAUAAUGACGGUACCCGGAGAAGAAGCCCCGGCUAACUUCGUGCCAGCAGCCGCGGUAAUACGAAGGGGGCUAGCGUUGCUCGGAAUUACUGGGCGUAAAGGGAGCGUAGGCGGACAUUUAAGUCAGGGGUGAAAUCCCGGGGCUCAACCUCGGAAUUGCCUUUGAUACUGGGUGUCUUGAGUAUGAGAGAGGUGUGUGGAACUCCGAGUGUAGAGGUGAAAUUCGUAGAUAUUCGGAAGAACACCAGUGGCGAAGGCGACACACUGGCUCAUUACUGACGCUGAGGCUCGAAAGCGUGGGGAGCAAACAGGAUUAGAUACCCUGGUAGUCCACGCCGUAAACGAUGAUUGCUAGUUGUCGGGAUGCAUGCAUUUCGGUGACGCAGCUAACGCAUUAAGCAAUCCG